rnacentral:rRNA from 1 species
UACGAAGGUCCCAAGCGUUAUCCGGAUUUAUUGGGUUUAAAGGGUGCGUAGGCGGGUUAUUAAGUCAGUGGUGAAAGCCUUCAGCUUAACUGAAGAACUGCCAUUGAUACUGAUGAUCUUGAGUAUGAUUGAGGUGGGCGGAAUGUGUCAUGUAGCGGUGAAAUGCUUAGAUAUGACACAGAACACCGAUUGCGAAGGCAGCUCACUAAGUCAUAACUGACGCUGAUGCACGAAAGCGUGGGGGAGCAAACAGG